rnacentral:tRNA from 1 species
GUGAUUGUGCGCGAGUGGCUAAAGCGAACGGGUUGUGACCCCGUUGGAGAGACAAUUCCAUCGCAGGUUCGAAUCCUGUCGAUCACC